rnacentral:lncRNA from 1 species
ACACAGCGACCACACCAUCACUGCCAUCUUAUGUACCAGGGGGCACCAAGCCCUGCUACCUCUGCCAGCUUAAAAUUCGGAGGACGUUCGAUGUAAAUGCAUCUGCCCUCCUUACAAAGACCACUCGGGCCAUAUCUACAAUAAAAACGUUUCGCAGAAGGACUGGUGAGUUUAUCAUGGGGAAUUACAAAGAGUGUGAUUGUCUGUAAGCAUUCUGUAAUGAUGACAAAAACAUCUCUUGCGCAACUUUUUGGGCCUUUGCUUUUAAAAGCAUUUCAGAAUUCAGCUAUCGGAAGAGAUGAGGCUUGAAACCCCCAAUGUUUCUCCAUCUUCUAUUUUGGAUUGCUUGUUUGCACGUUCUUAGUUUCUAUUGCAUAAGACUUGGAAGUAGUAGAAGGGAAAGGGGUGUUGUAAUUUGAAUUCAGUGAGCAGAAGUGGUAUCGUGGUGAAGCAGUGUGUCUGUUGAACUAGGACAGGGAUCGUUCUCUCCUCCUUCUCUGCUCUUGAAACCGGUCCUGUUGUUUAGAGUUUAUUUUGGAGAUUUGUUCCUCAAAAGUCACAGUCAGAGAAUGCAGUAUAGCUAGCAGCACAUUCUCUCUCCUGUAUAUAGAGAGAAAUCUUUUGUGUCUCAGCAAUGUGCUGUGUUGUAUUGCUUAGACUUAGCCAUGGCACCUGUCAGAUUUCAGCUGAGCUGAGGACCAGUAUGCAUGGGCAGGAAUGAGCAGCUGGGGAAGAAAGGGAGAUAACAGUGAUUUAAAACAGCAUACUUUGGAGUUGCUCUGAUAUCCAAAGUGCUCUGGAAUUCUUGGAUCAACCUAUAAAAAUGUGAAAUACAUUUUGAUACACUGACUCUUCUUAUGUAUCAAGAGUUAUUAGUAGAUUUUUUAGUCUGUUGAAUAGCAGCUGGCUAGCAACUUGAUUAUGAAUAUUCCAUGCCCCUUAGUACUCCCGCCAAAAUAAUUACAGGAAUGAAGUUAGUGAUACAGAUCUCUAUUAAGAGCUAUGCCUUGACUUAUUGACUUAUUUACAGAAGAACCGUGAGAAACAACACUGUAAAUUUCAAUCUAUGUUAAUGAACAUGAAAUGUACCGUCUGAUCUAAAUUACUGUUUUGUCCCCUGUGGUUAACUUAAUGUUAUUAGGCCUGCUAUGACAAAUUAGUCAGUCAAUGCAGUAGUGAGGCAUACUGUGGGAACUCCAGCUGCAGCUGGCAUUUCAGAGCAACACUGUUAAUAGCUUUGUUGCCUAUUACUCCUCUGUGAAUGAAGUGGAUUUUUUUUCAGUGGACAUUGCUUAGCAUGUGCCUUACUGUGAGAAAAGACCGUGUUUCACUUUAAAUCAUAUUGACAGUGAUUGAAGGAAAAAUUAACUUUGUAGUCUUGGCU